AUUGAACGCUGGCGGCAGGCCUAACACAUGCAAGUCGAACGGUAACAGGAAGAAGCUUGCUUCUUUGCUGACGAGUGGCGGACGGGUGAGUAAUGUCUGGGAAACUGCCUGAUGGAGGGGGAUAACUACUGGAAACGGUAGCUAAUACCGCAUAACGUCGCAAGACCAAAGAGGGGGACCUUCGGGGCUCUUGCCAUCGGAUGUGCCCAGAUGGGAUUAGCUAGUAGGUGGGGUAACGGCUCACCUAGGCGACGAUCCCUAGCUGGUCUGAGAGGAUGACCAGCCACACUGGAACUGAGACACGGUCCAGACUCCUACGGGAGGCAGCAGUGGGGAAUAUUGCACAAUGGGCGCAAGCCUGAUGCAGCCAUGCCGCGUGUAUGAAGAAGGCCUUCGGGUUGUAAAGUACUUUCAGCGGGGAGGAAGGGAGUAAAGUUAAUACCUUUGCUCAUUGACGUUACCCGCAGAAGAAGCACCGGCUAACUCCGUG
rnacentral:rRNA from 1 species